rfam:Arthrobacter sp. ZBG10 contig_76, whole genome shotgun sequence.
CGCGGUCCUCGGUAGUGAUCCCCGGGAACGGCAGCAACGUAUGGCUGCCCCGGCCCGUGGGUCUCGAUCGACGACCGGG